CGCAGGCACUUGACUGAAACUGUCAAGCCCGCUCUAGCCUCCUUGCUUUAAAGCUCGUCAAGCCUGAAGCAGUGUAUCCUGAAACCUUUCUUCGCAGUCCAACGACUAGGGAAACAAUUGGAAUGACACCGUUCGUAAUUAUAAGGUCUAAUCUUGACUGUGCAGCCACCCUGUCUCAUAAAAAUCCAACCAGCUUGUUUUGUUCUCUUCUGCAUUAUGGGCAAACUAAUGAAGUCUGACAGAAAAACUAAAAUUACUUAAGUUAAACUUAAUCCAGAAAGUCUUCUUUGAUAUCCCACCUGGGCAGUGCCAGCUUGUGCAAAAGACUAAGUACACUGCAAGCUCUAAUUCUUGUGUGAGUAAGAGUUUCAUCUAAGGAAAGUAAGAGAAAUAAAGAGACUCCAAACUAGAACUACUGUUCCUAGAUACCUUCUAGUGAAGAACUUACAAAGAAACCAGUUCUUCUUAAAAAGAAUUGCUGUGAAGUGUGUAUUUUUGCAGUGCUGCUGAAAUGGCAACCCCUACAAAUAAUUUUUAUAUGGAAAAUAAUUUUCAAGAGCCAGGAUUGCUGCUUUAUGGGUUUGUUUGUUUGUUGUCAAAUAAUAAUAUGUACUUUGGAGCCUCAUCCUCUCAGUUUUAAAUAUGUGCUUUGAAGUUUCAUUCAUAAAUAUUCAGUGACAACUUGCUGAGCUUACAAAAUGAGCAAAACAGAUGUAGUUGCAGCAUGGCAGAGCUUUUAGUUUAUUGGGGGAAAGAGGUAAAAAAGAAAAAAAAGUAAACAAGCAAAUAACUAAAAUGAUGAAUUACAUAUGAAGAAGUAAAUAUUGUGAUAAGAUACAGAUUAAUGGAGGUGGGCAAGACCUACUUUAGAAGGGCUUGAUUAGUCUGCUAGGGCUGAGUGAUGUGAUAAAAAUAAAUAUUUGAUUUUUGUUCCAGUUUGCUGGCA